UACGUAGGGGGCGAGCGUUGUCCGGAUUUAUUGGGCGUAAAGAGCGUGUAGGUGGCCAGGUAGGUCUGCUGUGAAAACUCGAGGCUCAACCUCGAGACGUCGGCGGAAACCAUCUGGCUAGAGUCCGGAAGAGGAGAGUGGAAUCCUGGUGUAGCGGUGAAAUGCGCAGAUAUCAGGAAGAACACCCGUGGCGAAGGCGACACACUGGGCCAUUACUGACGCUGAGGCGCGAAAGCGUGGGGGAGCAAACAGG
rnacentral:rRNA from 1 species